rnacentral:tmRNA from 1 species
GGGGGCGUAAUGGUUUCGACGGGGGUUUGAAAUGACAGGAGUAGCGAGCCGGGGGCCGGGCCCCGUUAAAAACUGGAAACGGCUAAUAACUGCCGACAACAACUACGCUUACGCUGCUUAAUUAACUAAGCAGCCGUCCUCUCAAUUCCCUGCCUGCGGGAAUUGAACAGGGCGUCGCUAAUGCAGGCUACCGCCGGCACACGCCUCCGCUGCCGCCGGGAAACUGCAAGGAGGCUGGUCUGAGGCAGAUCCUGUCCCUGGGAGCUGUCGAGGGCGAGAAGCAAAACAGGGACUGCGCUCGGAGAGACUGCUGUUGUUUAACCUUCGGACGCGGGUUCGACUCCCGCCGCCUCCACCA